ACCGUGCCAUGGCUGGGGACAGUGUGCUGUGGUUGGGGACACCAGGGCGCCUUGCCACUGCCAGGGUCACUGUGCUAUUCCAAGAAUUACUGUCCUGCAGUCAUCGUGCUGCUUCUGGGCAUAACAUGGCAUAGGCAGGGACAGCGUGUUGUCACCAGUGUCACCGUGCAAUGGCAGGGGCUACCUGUGCUAUGGCCAGGGCAGCCCCACGCCCUGCCAGUGCCCGGGCUGUUGGCAGGAGGGAAAUGCCGUGCCUGGAGCACAGGGGGGUCACUGCGCUGCUCAGCUCAGCUCUGCUGCAGACACUGACCCUCAGACAACACCCUGUCUGUGCCUGGCCCCCAGAAAGGGUGGCUGUCACCCCUUGGGGGACCCUCGGAGGCUCAGCUAUGGCACAAGAGGCUCCAUGGCCGAUCACAGGGACCUUCAGCUGAGAGCAGAGGGGAGGGUUUGGUGGCCGCUCGUCGCUGUUCCACACCCAGAGCUGGUGCAAGAAAAGGGAAGUGAAGAUGGACAGGGCCGAAGCUCUUGCUUUCCUCACGCAGGAAAGGAGGCACCCAGAUCUGCCAGAGGACUGCAGGAGGCCAAGCCCCAGUCCUGCUCCCUCCCCAUGGACAGUGGGAAGGAGGAAAAAGAAGAGCCUUAGAGGGAAACCCUCAAUUACUGGGAAGGGAGUUCCCCCCGCGGCUCCAGGACCAUCUCCCGAGUUAGUUUUCCCAGCACCGUGAUGAUGAUCCUGGUUCCAUAGAUACCGAUGCCAUGACAACUCUGACAUCAUCCGUGCUUGGGACGGGAGCUGCAGGGACGUCGCAGGGAGGAGCAUGGAUGCGGAGCUGUGGGACUGGGGGCUUCUCCCGGCUCCUGGGCCAGCUCCUCUCCCACCUGCUGUCCCUGCAGCUCCCUCUCCCCUUGCAGGGACCAGUGUCGCUGCCACACCACAGGAGUACCUGUGUCCAGGUGUGUCCAGCCCCUCACACACGUGGCUGUCACACAGCCAAGGAUUCCCAUGUGCUCGGCCCCAUUUCCAGCUCAUUCUGGCUGUCCCAGCUCUGCCAGCCUGUUCCCUCUGCCAGGUGGGAUCGGGAUUUAACUGUUAAAGCUCACAGCGAUGCCACGCAGUUUUUCUCAAUUACAGGUGAGUCAUCAUCUCUCCGGGCCUAUUUCUGAGUCCCAGCAGGAAAAGCAGAGCCCAGCCUUUCAUUCCUCAGUGCCACCAGCUCAGCAGACAUCAUGCUGUACUAUGCAAAACCGAAAUGGCCACGGAGACAAUGGUCAGGAACAAAGGCCAAAUUAACUGGAAGGGAUUACCCCAGGUGGGAUUUUUAAUCAGCUUCGGCAGUUUAGAAGCAGCUGUUCCAGCGUCCUCGAAAAUCAGUUUCAUGCUUUGAGAACAAACCGUCCCGAAUCCAUCAGCCCAGAGUCAGGUACCAUGGCAAGGGCUGCCCUGCUCCCUGAGGGUGCCCAGUGCCAGGGAAGCAGCAUGUUCCCGGGGCUACUGCCCAGGGAAUCACCCGGACCUCUGGGAUCUGCUCCUGGUUUUCUCAUGAUGUGGGGAAAGACACUUCAAUUCUCCCCCUUUCUAAAAUGUCUUGCCCAGCCCAUCUGUCCCAGCUGGGACAGGGAUAUUUCAGACAAUGCAAAGCACAAAGCACCAGGACCCUGCCUGAACUUUUCAGAUGUUAUUGUAGAAGAAAUCAUCACCGUUUCCAGACAAAAACGUGGCUUAUACACUUCCAGGCAUGACCAUGGUGCAUCAGGCAAGGUCCCUACUCAAUAUCCCUGCUCCUAAACUUCUCCCCUUUCUUCAAGGUUCAUCCCUCCAACCUGUGCUGUGUGCAGUGUUUGUACAAUCAUUUCUCACGUCAUGGGGUGUCAGUUUUCUUCCCCUGCUACGGCACAGAUAAAGCUCAGGAGGUAUCUCCAGCCCACACACAAACUGCUUUUUCUGUUUCACUUCCUAUUGCUGCAAAUCAACGGAUACACAGAGCCAGCCAAUAACAGGGACAGAUAUUGCACCUUCAACAUUUUCCCCAUCAAAUGGAGAACAGCAGCAUUUGGAAAUGGCACUUUCCUGAGCAUCAGUUCAGUUUGAACAAGUUCUGGCUGCAUUUACCACUCCCCCUGGAUUUCAGUGACAGGGAACAAACAGCAGCACACAGACAAGUGCCUGAGAUCUUUCUGUGUUCUGACUUUAUAGGAGUUUAAUUAAAGCUAUGGAUUUGCCUCCUG